UUUCAGUGGCGUAGCCAGGAUUGAAACGAUGUGGAUGCGAACUGUCGCCGAGCGGAGCGAGGCGAAAAAAUUUUGGGACUUUUUUAUGCAGAAAGUUUUUCCUGUAUGCAUGUCAGUGUAUUCCCCUAGAAUCCGACACCGGUUAGAUUUUCGUUUAAUUUCAAAAUACCCACCAGUAUACAUUAUAUUUACAACAGAAUGUAUUAACAAUACUACCAUCAUUAAAUUCAGAAAAAUUUAAUGUUAAAGCUUCACACCAAAUCUUAUAUUUGACAUCUCAAAAACAAAACCAUUACAGCGGCACUUCUGUAUAUGGAACUUCAGAAUAUAGGAACCGAAGUGACACCCCCUCCUUUCCUGGAAUUUGAGCCUCCCAAUGGGGUUUUUGAUUACUUGUCCUAAGUAAUUGCUGCGAGAGGAUAUGGAAAUACCGGGCGUCCGUCCGUCCAGUCUUGUUAGCGCUGUCAUUCAUUUGUACAAUUCUUGCCAGAUUUUUGUGAAACUUAUAUCAUCAUGCAGCAAUGUCUUUCGCACAUGUAUGCGAGUAUAAAUCCUGAUCAAAUAUUUUUAACCAAUAUAUGCCCCUUGGAAAUAUAAACUAUAAAUGCAAAUCUCAUUGUAUUUGUUUGGAAGCUUUUUCUCUCGAGAUAUAAAUUAAAAAAAGAAAAAGUGCUUUGUUUAGUUUUUGCCCUCUUGUACAUAAAAAUGUAUCUUGGGUGCGGGGGGCAUUGGAUCUCUGAUCUUUUAUUGAAAACAACAUUAAUAUUUGUACCUAGAUGGAAAAGGGUAUUCGUGAGUCCUGGAAUAAAAACGCUUCAUUACAAAUAGAGUCGUCGUCUUUCGUGCCAAAGAAAACGAUAUUAGGAUAUGAUGUUUCAGAUUUUUUAUCCAUCUUGUUUACAUAAAGGAAAAACCACGCAUACGGCUUCGGAAAUGAUUGGAAACUAUUCUCAUAUUCUCAUAUACAUUCGGAUACCAUCAUGUGUAUAUGCUGUCAACUGUCAUUAUAUAAUUAUUAAAAGAAUUUUUUUUUGUCAAAUUGAUGUGGAUGCUUGAGCAU
rnacentral:lncRNA from 1 species